rnacentral:sRNA from 1 species
GCCUGGAGUGGUGGCGCACUCCUGUAAUCCCAGCGGCUCCUGAGGCUGAUGCAGGAGGAUCACGAGUUCAAAGGCAGCCUCAGCCAAAGCGAGGUGCUAAGCAAUUCAGUGAGACCCUGUCUCUA